GAUGAAGAACGUAGCGAAAUGCGAUAAGUAGUGUGAAUUGCAGAAUUCAGUGAAUCAUCGAAUCUUUGAACGCACAUUGCGCCCGCUGGUAUUCCGGUGGGCAUGCCUGUUCGAGCGUCAUUUCAACCCUCAAGCCCCCGGGUUUGGUGUUGGGGAUCGGCUCUGCCCUUCUGGGCGGUGCCGCCCCCGAAAUACAUUGGCGGUCUCGCUGCAGCCUCCAUUGCGUAGUAGCUAACACCUCGCAACUGGAACGCGGCGCGGCCAUGCCGUAAAACCCCAACUUCUGAAUGUUGACCUCGGAUCAGGUAGGAAUACCCGCUGAACUUAAGCAUAUCAAUAAGCGGAGGA
rnacentral:misc_RNA from 1 species